rnacentral:rRNA from 1 species
AGAAUCAACGCUGGCGGCGUGCCUAACACAUGCAAGUCGAACGAGAAAGUGGAGCAAUCCAUGAGUAAAGUGGCGCACGGGUGAGUAACACGUGACUAACCUACCCUUGAGUGGGGAAUAACUUCGGGAAACCGAGGCUAAUACCGCAUAACACCUACGGGUCAAAGGAGCAAUUCGCUUUUGGGAGGGGUCGCGGCUGAUUAGCUAGUUGGCGGGGUAACGGCCCACCAAGGCUUUGAUCGGUAU